CAUAAACAUUUUCUAAACAAUAAACUAAAACCAUAAGUUUCGAUCAAUAUGUAUGUAACUCGAUCUCUUUCUCACUAUAAGAGAUUUCCUGAAGCUCUUCAUUUGCCUCCCGAGGGUCCAAACUCGGGCUACUUGGUAAUCCAAGACGAAGAGUCUGAAACUUACUCAUUCUUUGGGUUGCACAAGAAUAAGUCUCUUAAAGAGUUGCCUUUUCCUCAAAACAAAAGACUGACCACACGUUAUUCAUCAGGGGCGGGUGAAAAUGCAAGUGCUUCUUUGAUGAAGUUGUUUUUAUUCCAGUUCUUAAUCAACCCUUAUCUUCAAAUCGUUACUAUGCCAUAAAACCAAAAGGUUCGCAUAAAGGGGAAGCGUUUGCAUGUUCAAAGGAGGAAGACAUGGCGCCUUGUUGUUGUGGUGGUUCUCUCAAUGAUGUUAAACCAAGGCCAUUGAAUCCACAUGAUGUAUACCAACAGUUUGAGAUCAUUCCUUACAAAGCAUUUUUAAGUGGUGAUGGAAGAUUUUAUGCCAAAUCUCUCAUGGAAGAUGGUGAUCCUCCGUAUUUCUUAAAGAGAAAAGGUUGGGAGAUCUAUACUAAAACACCUAAAAACUACACGUUACAUGAAGCAAAUGGAAUCAAUGAUGCCCUUCGUUCACGUCUCCCUGAAUUUAGUUUCCUACCUUUAACCAAAACUUCGAGUUCAGUGGUUGUUGGCAAGUGGUAUUGUCCAUUCAUGUUCAUCAAAGAAGGAAGACAGAUCGACCAGGUGAAAACCUCUAUGUAUUAUGAAAUGACACUGGAACAAAGAUGGGAACGAGUUUUUGAACAAGAAAACGAGGACAAUACCAAAGGAGAUGUUGUGUUUGUUGAUGCUGUAUUUAAUAGUGAAGCAGUUUUUGUUGGUGAGAGUUUGAGGGAGGCUGAGAGAAAUGUGGUAAAUGGAGUUGUGUGGUUUUUCUGUCGAGGGGGUGAUGAUGAGAAAGAAGAAAGUGUAGGGUUGAGAAGAGAAAUUGUUGAAAGAAUGAGGUGGGAAGAAGAAAAAGUUGGAUGGGUAGAUGGUGGAGAGAACAGGAUACAUAUGGUUACGAGAGAAGAGAAGUUUGAAGGAAGUGGUGGAUGGAAGAGAUUUGGUUGUUAUGUUUUGGUUGAAAGAUUUGUGCUCAAAAGAAUGGAUGGGAGUUUACUUUUGGCCUAUGAAUUUGGUCACAGCCAUCAAAUUAGAACCAUUUUCGAAUAAUUUAUAUGUUUAUUUUUUAUAUUUGUAUCAAAUGAUAGCAUAUUAGUAUUGUGUAUUUUUGGAUUCAGUGCUUAUAUGUCAAAUAGUUUUAGAAAUAUUGUUUUGUCGUGUAUUCUUUAAUGGAAUGAAUAAAAAUUAAAUUAUUAUUUCC